UGAGGAAAAUUGUGUGAACUUUAUAAGAAAAUUCUAUGAACUAGGUCGUUUGGUUACCUUAUAUCCAUUCGGUUAUGGAAGUUCUUGCAUAUCUAUACCUUAUAAUAAAACAAAACAAACUUAUGCCAUUUGUCCUAUUCUUAAAAUCCUUAUUGCCACGUGGCAAUUGAUUGUUUCCCCAAUUUUUCGUUUGAGCGGCAAUUAUACUUCCUCCUCCUUGGCUCUUUUUGAAACCGCCUGAAUUUCUUCAAUUUGGAAACCUCAUAACUUCUCUCAAUCAAUUGAAAUCAUUCUCCAAUUUAGCAUCUUUUCUUCAGUAAAAUCAUUUUUCAGUUUGGCAAAUUGAUUUCUCUUCGUUUACCAAUUUCGAAUUGAAAACCUCUACCCAUCAAUCAAGUCUCUAUUCCAAUAGAACCCUGGAUUUCUGAGGACUUCACAAUAGCUAGCUGUUGAAUUCUAAAGGAAGACGAAGAUGGCUACAAUAAAUAUAGGUUUAGAUCUUUGCUCUGGUGGCUAUCUAGGGUUUCAGUGGCGGCCGAUGACUAGGUAUGUGAUGGCUUAGCUCAAUAGGUCGGCUUGGAAUGGGGAAUCUUACAGUAAGUUUCAAAGUGGGUUGGAGAAACCAGUCUGGAGGUUAAACGAGGAUCAUAUCGCAGAUGAUUAAAGGAUAAGCUUAUUACCUACAUUGUCUGCAAUUCCUCUACGUCGUUCAUCGCUCAUGACGUACAUUGUCUGCAGUUCCUUUACGCCGUUCUUCGUUAUGUAGUGGAUUGGGAUUCCUUUUUUUGCAACUGGAUUGAUUGCUACUCUGAUUGACAACACUUCUAAGAUACCAUUUCUUCUUAAUCUGAAUUUCAAAGAAUGGUUGGAACUGAGGAUUCUUGCCGAGGCUACACGUCCUCUACUUUAGUGGCGACGUGGACAGCAGCAUCAGCAGUCGAUAUAAAACAAGCUACAUUUUACAACAGCGAUCGUUAUGUAAACGUCCAGGAUGAGCGUUUAAACCGUUUGAUGAAAUAGGCUGAUCCAUUCAAAGUGUCAAUCGAUCAUGGAACUAUUUUCAUGAUUGUUACCCAAGAUCUCGGAUUCUGCAGAUUUGUUGGUGUUAAACAGCUUGAAUAUUGCAUACAACUAAUGCAAGCGUUUGCUACCAUGUUCACGUACCAAGGUUUAAAUUUGUUGCUGAUUAGUGAUUCAAAAGUUGGUAAAAGUUCUAUUCUUUUGAGUAAACUACCAUUGAAGUUCUUUAUCCUACAAUUGGUUAGAAGUUCAAGCUUACAGUAUGGGAUCCGGUAACCAUUUUCUUUGCUCUGAUUUUAAUUAAUUAGUUUAUCUUUUUUUAAUUAGAUUACAGGUAUGAUUUUCAUCGGAUUGGGACACCGGUUAAUGAUCUGAUGAUGUGGAAUGAUGCAGCAAAAUCAACACUUUGGUUCGGGUUAGGGUCAUUUUGUUUCCUACCAUUAUGUUUUACAACUGAAUAGCUUCAGCCGACCUGUUCAGAUUAUGAAGAGGGAGAACAAAGGAGGUGGUGUUGGUUGUAGCCAAGAUAAUGAUGGUGGUGCACGGGGUGGACGAUGGUGGUGGUUUAUGAUUGAUCCGGUUGCAGCAGGUUACGAAGCUGGUGUCUUAGGGUCUCGAUGAUGUCGGUUGUGGUAAUCAUGUUACUUAAUAUUAAGCGGUCAAGAUGUUGAAAGAGGUUCUUUCAGUCACAUGAAUUCUGUUGUGCAUGAUCAAGAAACAGGGGAGCGUUACUGUCCGUUGGAUCAUGUAAUGAUGAAUCAACACAAACAAACCGUAAGCAACAGGUCAAUGCAUUUUUGUAUAAACAUCUAUACAUGAUUUCUUAUAUUUUUUUCUUUACAUCUUUAUUGAUGCUUAUAUGAUAAUAUAAAGUUCUUUUUCGAAGUUUGGUCUGUUGUGCUUUGACUUGGGCUAUUCAAUGGAAAAACGUAAUUAACUGGUAUUGUGGCAAGCUCAGUUUGGUAACUUUUUUUCCAAUGGGCCCAAGUUAUAUUUGAUCAAUUCUUGAGUAGUGACGAGGCUAAGUGGCUGCUAGACUGGGUUAGUUGUGUUGCCAUUCAUGGUUAAGAUGGUCAAGGGCUCGAACACUCCAGUGCAAGACUUGAGCGUUUUCUUCAGCUGCAUUUGGAGUUCCAUAAGCCGCUUAUCAUUAUGUCUUCUAAAAAUUUGCUUCGUCACAAAGACUACAAGUUGAAUUUAUUUGAGUUUGAUGAUAUUUUCAAGGAUAUCAUCCCUAGGUUUUUGGAAAGGGAAGUGAUCACUCUGUUCGGUUAUGGGUUUGUACCGGUUAGGGUCGUGUAUUGUCUGUUUGGGACCUGUUUCAACCCUUAGACGCGAAGCCUUAGUUUGGAAAGGCCUAGAACAAAAGUGAUGAUCUACAUGGGCUUCAAUGCCAGUAGAUAUUAUAUGUUUGUGUUAAGCUACCCGCGAAACUUGCGGGAUCUUAAACUAGUAUUGAACAAACCACUACAACUAUCGAUAAUUCUAAUCAAGCGGAUAUGGUUUAAGG